AUAGGUUUUUCUCCCGUUUGUUUCCAUUUCUCUUCUCAUUCAGCUGCAGCCGCUUCAAAUUUCCCUAUAAAGCAGCAAUGUUAUCAAUGUCACGGACGUUACUAUUGAGUAAUCAAUGGAAUCUCAAAGUGAAAAUAAACUCUUUUCACUUUUCUUUCUUGUUACUCUAGGUUCUUUCCUUCAUCGUCAACAAAUCCAGGUCUUGGGAAUUUGAUUGAAAGUUUGGUUCUCUCAGAAUAGUGUUCUAUUGAGCCCAACAUGAUUGUAUAAAUGUCUGAAAGAUGUUUGAUUGAAUUUGGAAGAGCUGGAAUUGUAUAACUAUCAAGAUCCGACGACGAUGUAAUCAUCCGAAGGUAAUUCAGUUUGGAUUUCUUCUUUACGGUUUACAUUUUCGUUUUCCUUUUUUAAGUUGUGUGUGCAAUUGUUAUUUCAGUGUUAAAUUGGUAAGAGAAUAAUGUUCUUUGUGGUUAGUGUUGUAGAUUUGUCAUUUCACCUCUUUAUAGGGUUUUGAUAUCCCUACAGAGACAUCAAUGGUGAUCCUUCAUUUUUCCAGUUCAGUCUGUCAUACUUGCUUAUCCAAAAACCCUACAACGUGGUCAUUCUCACACUUUUUUUAAAUCCAAGGUAUGGGCUAUGAAUUACUCUGGUGCUUGAGAAACCAAACUUUUGAUAGAAAUUAUAUUCUUAUUUUUAUACAUAUAUUUAAUGGGGAAAUGGCUCAAGGAUUGAGUUGCUGCAAAUAAUUCAAGUGUGUUUAUAAAGGCCUGCUAAGUUGAUUCAUCUAUUUUUUUAUUUUUUUUAUUUUUUUCGGUGAUUCGUUUAAUUGUUAAUACGAGGUUUAUUUACACAUACAUGCUAAUUGGAUUUGGGGCAGAAUGAUAUGAAAGAUACAUGCUAAUUGGGUUUAGUUUACCAUUGCUUUUAAUAAGUCCUGGGUGUUCGCAGUUGUAAACCACAGUCAGGAUUCAACUGAAUCAGCGAGAGGUGGACAACAGGUGCAACUUUGUAAGGAUGCUUUUUGAAAAUAAUUAAAGUUUUUGGAUUCCUUUCUAAGAACAAGGCAGUUGGUAAAACUAUAGAUGUCACUUUUGUUGGGAUCCGUAUUCUGCUUGACUUCUCUAUUAUCCCAUCGGACAGGGGUUGCAUGGCUGACUGAGUAAAAUGCAAAUGCGAGAAGUACUUCGCCCAUGCUCUUUCUCUUCCUCAGUCAAUAUUAAUUACUUAGGUAAUGGAUUGGGUUUUGUAUUUGGUAAUUUAGGUAUGUUUGGUUGAAUCAUCUACUUUCUUUGGGUUGGUAACUGAAGGGGUUGUCUCUACAACUGUAGUUGCUCCAAUUAGAACACAUUUGAUAAUUGGGAGUAGUGGGAGUUUAACAAUGAACAUAUGAUGUAAUAGAAGCGCAACCUGAGAUUUCACCAUCAGUGUUCUUGGUUGCAAAAUAUACUAAAGUUUUCAUUGUCUAUUUUAGCAAGGUGGAAUUUAAGUUUUUUGUACGCACAACUAUUGUUUACUCAUCAUUGUUUAAAAUUGUCAAAGUUGGUAGGUGGCUUUUUACUUCCUCUUAAAGCUCUUUGCUGGGAAGUGGUACAACCUGUUACGGGUGGAUGCAAGCUUAGUGUCAAUGGUGAAUAACCCUUUUUGGAUUUCGAAGUUUAGGUUUACGUUCUUUUCUAACAAGAACUUAUUUAGCAAGGAAAUGGUGAUUUCCGGUAAAAAAAAAUUGGUAUUAUGUAUUUUUAACUGUUCUUCCCAUAAUAGUUUAGUUGUGUCUGUACGUACUGGAAAAAUGCUAGGCUAACCAAUGGAUUAUUAUACCUUGACAUCGGUUUCACGGAAUCACUAUCAGCUCAACUUUUCCAAAUACAGUCCAUGGCAUACUUUAUCGCAACUUAUUAAACCAUUGCAAUUUGUUUUAUUUACUAAAUGUAGAUGUCACAUAACGCAAUAUGAGUACAGUCGAGUGUCGAAUACGGCGUUCUUCAAGUGAUAUUUGCGCUACUCAUGUCUAUGCAUGUUCUUAGUUUACUAUUCGAAGAAAAAUCGCUUCAUUCCUAGAUAGAUAGGUAUGAUUAUUAAUUAGUAAGUUACUUAGCAUGGUUCUUUCCUAUUUUUGUUGAUCCUCAUGACAUAAAAGAUCAUUAGGAUUAUUACUUUAAAGAAAUUGAAAGUUUGAAACCUAUAUAAACGACAUUCACACAUUUUUGUAUGUCUAAUAUUUGUUUUGGGUGCAAUACCUUUUGCAGAAGUUGCUCAAUAUUGGAAAGUUGUACAUGACUUAAUAGAGUCUGUAAGACUCUUUAUUACCAGAAGUCUGAGAAGUUUGGCGGCGAUGUAAUUAGUGGGAUGCUCGAAGAUAGGAUAAUCUCCUAGCCUCUUAACUGGGGUUUGAUUUAAAUGGAACAAUUUUUAUGAGCUGAUAUAGAAACCGAUGGAAUGGAAUCUCCCAAGAGGAUAAUGUUGAGGUUAAGAAGAAUUGACGAAUGGAAAAAGAAGUAGUCCUACAUACCACCAGAUAAGAAAUUGUCACUGGAAGUCUUAACUUCUAUUGUUCUUCGGAUUGAGAAAUGUGGUCAGUAUAUCAUUUUUAAGGUUUAUUGAGUUGUCCAGAGAGGCAUGGGUGAAACCCGAGGAGUCUUUGGGGUGUAUAAUGCAUAUGUAUGUUUGGUUCUUGCACUUACCAAUAAAAUUAGGUAGUAUGUUUACAUCACUUAACAAUAAAAUUUGGAAAAUACUAACUUUAUUGGGAUGGGUAUUCCUUUGUGUC